UACAAUUACUGAAAGAAAAAGCCUGAAUCCAGAAAAAAGUUAUAUAUUUUUUAAAUGUCUAUCCUGGUCAGGAUUGCAGUGGGUCUGAUUCACUGGGUGAAAAGCAGAAAACCGGUCAACCAGGUCAGGUCGCCAGUCCACAGUCACACGGAACGGUAGUUACUCAUUACACAAGGUUCAUCAGUUCACGUUUUUAAUAUUAAACAGUCAUGGACAAUUGGACUGUGGGAGGAAACCAGAGCUCCCGGAGGAAACUCCACACAGAAAGGACUCGGACCACUCUGCCUGGGAAUCGAACCCAGGACCUUCUUGCUGUGAGGCAACAGUGCUACCCACUGAGCCACCGUGCCACCCUUUGAACUGCACAAAAGAGGAAAAAGCCCUAAAAUGUGCAGAGCAGUGACAGUUCAGGAGCAGGAUUAAGACAAAACUUCUGUUUCUAAAACAUA